rnacentral:rRNA from 1 species
UACGUAGGGGGCUAGCGUUGUCCGGAAUCAUUGGGCGUAAAGCGCGCGUAGGCGGCCCGGUAAGUCCGCUGUGAAAGUCCAGGGCUCAACCCUGGAAAGCCGGUGGAUACUGCCGGGCUAGAGUCCGGGAGAGGCGAGUGGAAUUCCUGGUGUAGCGGUGGAAUGCGCAGAUAUCAGGAGGAACACCUAAGGCGAAGGCAGCUCGCUGGAACGGUACUGACGCUGAGGAGCGAAAGCCAGGGGAGCAAACGGG